UAAUACGAUAAUAUGGCCAAAACAAUCUGGCAACGCUGGUGGGAGCCGUUAGAAAGGCUUAUUUCUCGCCGAUUUCUGGACGACUGGACAGACUGUGUAGAGCCUUCGUCGAGUGUUCCGAGAAAUCUGACCUGAUAUCUACUGCAGACGAGGAAGAGGAGGAGGAGGAACAACAACAAGACGAAAACCAGGACGGAGAGGAGGGAGAGGAAGAGGAAGGAAGAAGGAAAAGACUCGGAGGAGGAGGAGGAGGAGGAGGAGGAGGAACAACAACAAGACGAAAACCAGGACAGAGAGGAGGGAGAGGAAGAGGAAGGAAGAAGGAAAAGACUCGGAGGAGGAGGAGGAGAAAGUUAAUUAUAAAAAAUAGAGAGAGGAAGUUAGGAUGUUCUAUGUUUGCAAUAUAUACUAACAUCAUUAUGGACGUAGACUUUGUGGCAAAUUUAGGACAUAAAGCUGUGGCAAAUUUAGGACAUGAAGUAGAUUAAGAGGCUGCAUUAUAUAUACUGUUGCUUGAUAAGAGAAGAGAUGUAUAAGAUUUAGAGACAGAAAAAAAAAAUGUAUGGAUAUUUC